rnacentral:rRNA from 1 species
UGCGCAGGCGGUUAUAUAAGACAGAUGUGAAAUCCCCGGGCUCAACCUGGGAACUGCAUUUGUGACUGUAUAGCUAGAGUACGGCAGAGGGGGAUGGAAUUCCGCGUGUAGCAGUGAAAUGCGUAGAUAUGAGGAGGAACACCGAUGGCGAAGGCAAUCCCCUGGGCCUGUACUGACGCUCAUGCACGAAAGCGUGGGGAGCAAACA